GUGAGGAAUUUUCCGCAAUGGGCGCAAGCCUGACGGAGCGACGCCGCGUGAGGGAUGAAGGCUUUCGGGUUGUAAACCUCUUUUAAGCGAGAAAAAGGUGUACGUGCUAAUAUCACGUGCGCUUGAUGGUAUCGCUGGAAUAAGCCCCGGCUAACUACGUGCCAGCAGCCGCGGUAAUACGUAGGGGGCGAGCGUUGUCCGGAAUUACUGGGCGUAAAGGGCGUGUAGGCGGUUGGAGAAGUCUGGCGUGAAAUGCUUCAGCUCAACUGGAGCGCUGCGCUGGAAACUUUCUGACUGGAGUUCGGGAGGGGUUACUGGAAUUCCCGGUGUAACGGUGAAAUGUGUAGAUAUCGGGAGGAACACCUGUGGCGAAGGCGGGUAACUGGACCGGAACUGACGCUGAGACGCGAAAGCGUGGGGAGCAAACAGGAUUAGAAACCCUAGUAGUCC
rnacentral:rRNA from 1 species